UUCUAUAAGUCACACAAGGCCAAACUAAGAUACAUUUACUUCUGCCACAUGGAAGGUCACUUGCUUUCCUCAGGAAGAGUCUGGAAGGGUGUUUAAUCAAGAAAGAGGACACGGUAUAAAAGUAACAUUUCAUCAGCGAGGAAAAGAUAUUAACCGUAAGGA